AGCAGCCGCGGUAAUUCCAGCUCCAAUAGCGCAUAUUAAAGUUGUUGCGGUUAAAAAGCUCGUAGUUGAAUUUCGGGAUCAAUAUUUCGGUCAUGCCGUUGGUAUGCACUGUUAUCAUUGAUUUCUCACCUUCUAAAGAACCGUAAUGCCAUUAAUUUGGUGUUACGGGGAAUUAGGACUGUUACCUUGAAAAAUUAGAGUGUUUAAAGCAGGCUCACGCUUGAAUACAUUAGCAUGGAAUAAUGAAAUAGGACGUUUGAUUCUAUUUUGUUGGUUUCUAGGAUCGACGUAAUGAUUAAUAGGGAUAGUUGGGGGCAUUAGUAUUCAAUUGUCAGAGGUGAAAUUCUUGGAUUUAUUGAAGACUAACUACUGCGAAAGCAUUUGCCAAGGAUGUUUUCAUUAAUCAAGAACGAAAGUUAGGGGAUCGAAGACGAUCAGAUACCGUCGUAGUCUUAACCAUAAACUAUGCCGACUAGGGAUCGGAUGAUGUUAAUUUU
rnacentral:sRNA from 1 species